rnacentral:rRNA from 1 species
UACGUAGGGGGCAAGCGUUGUCCGGAAUCAUUGGGCGUAAAGAGCGUGUAGGCGGCCCGAUAAGUCCGCUGUGAAAGUCCAGGGCUCAACCCUGGAAUGCCGGUGGAUACUGUCGGGCUCGAAUCCGGAAGAGGUGAGUGGAAUUCCUGGUGUAGCGGUGAAAUGCGUAGAUAUCUGGAGGAACACCGGUGGCGAAGGCGGCAUCCUGGACCGACACUGACACUGAGGAGCGAAAGCCAGGGGAGCAAACGGG